GGCGCUAUGGUGUAGUGGCAGCACAUUGAAUUUUGAUUCCAACAACCCAGGUUCGAACCCUGGUAGUGCCU
rnacentral:tRNA from 1 species